rnacentral:sRNA from 1 species
GGGGAAGGAUGAGAAGCUUCGACCAAGGUUCGACUCGAGCAAAGCGAGAGAACGUUGCCGCAGGCAAUGGCCCGAAGGCGAGGCGCUUUAGCGCCGAGUAAUCCUUCCCCCACCACUG